rnacentral:rRNA from 1 species
GACGAACGCUGGCGGCGUGCUUAACACAUGCAAGUCGAACGGAAAGGCCCUGCUUUUGUAGGGUGCUCGAGUGGCGAACGGGUGAGUAACACGUGAGUAACCUGCCCUUGACUUUGGGAUAACUUCAGGAAACUGGGGCUAAUACCGGAUAGGAGCUCCUGCUGCAUGGUGGGGGUUGGAAAGUUUCGGCGGUUGGGGAUGGACUCGCGGCUUAUCAGCUUGUUGGUGGGGUAGUGGCUUACCAAGGCUUUGACGGGUAGCCGGCCUGAGAGGGUGACCGGCCACAUUGGGACGGAGAUACGGCCCAGACUCCUACGGGAGGCAGCAGUGGGGAAUAUUGCACAAUGGGCGGAAGCCUGAUGCAGCAACGCCGCGUGCGGGAUGACGGCCUUCGGGUUGUAAACCGCUUUCGCCUGUGACGAAGCGUGAGUGACGGGAAUGGGGAAAGAAGCACCGGCGACUACGUG